GUCGGGGUAGCUCAAUGGCAGAGCGGGGCUCUCAUAAGGCCUAGGUGUGGGUUCAAUUCCCACCCCCGACA
rnacentral:tRNA from 1 species